GACGAACGCUGGCGGCGUGCCUAAUACAUGCAAGUAGAACGCACAGGAUGCACCGUAGUUUACUACACCGUAUUCUGUGAGUUGCGAACGGGUGAGUAACGCGUAGGUAACCUGCCUGGUAGCGUGGUAUAACUAUUGGAAACGUUAGCUAAUACCGCAUAAGAAAAUUUACUGCAUGGUAGAUGUUUAAAAGGUGCAAAUGCAUCACUACCAGAUGGACCUGCGUUGUAUUAGCUAGUAGGUGAGGUAACGGCGCACCUAGGCGAAGAUACAUAGCCGACCUGGGAGGGUGGUCGGCCCCGCCGGGAAUGGUGCACGGCCCAGACUCCUCCGGGAGGCAGCCGUAAGGCAUCUUCGGCAAUGGGGGGAACCCUGACCGAGAAACGCCCCGUGAGUGGAGAAGGUUUUCCGGUCGUCAAGCUCUGUUGUUUAGGAAGAAAGAGUGUGAGAAUGGAAAGUUCAUACUGUGACGGUACUUAAACAGAAAGGGACGGCUAACUACGUG
rnacentral:rRNA from 1 species